UUCUGCUCUCACAGGUAUCUUUAACCCCAAACAGCCCAAAGAUGCAGCCAAGAACUUCAGCUUUGAUUAUUCAUACUGGUCUCACAGCACGGAGGAAGACCCAGCUUUCGCGUCCCAGCGGCAGGUGUAUCUGGACAUCGGCGAGGAGAUGCUGCUUCAUGCCUUUGAGGGAUACAACGUGUGUAUUUUCGCCUACGGUCAGACCGGAGCAGGGAAGUCCUACACCAUGAUGGGAAAACAAGAGCCUGGACAGCAAGGCAUCAUUCCACAGAUGUGUGAAGAUCUGUUCAAGCGCACCAGUGAGAACACCGACCCUGAUCUGUCCUACUCUGUAGAGGUGCUGCUACACACACACACACACACACAAAAAACACACUCCUCACAUCACACACACACA